AACGCGAAGAACCUUACCUGGGUUUGACAUGCGCCUGCACCACCCGUAAUGGGGUGUCCCCUUCGGGGGCGGGCGCACAGGUGCUGCAUGGCUGUCGUCAGCUCGUGCCGUGAGGUGUUGGGUUAAGUCCCCUAACGAGCGCAACCCCUAGGGUCCGUUACAAUGCUCUCGGGCCCGACUGCCGCGCGCAACGCGGAGGAAGGUGGGGAUGAUGUCAAGUCAGCACGGCCCUUACGUCCAGGGCGACACACACGCUACAAUGGCCGGUACAAUGGGUCGCCAAGCCGCGAGGCGGAGCCAAUCCCAGCAAAGCCGGUCUCAGUUCGGAUUGCAGGCUGCAACUCGCCUGCAUGAAGCUGGAGUUGCUAGUAACCGCGGGUCAGCACACCGCGGUGAAUACGUUCCCGGGCCUUGUACACACCGCACUACUA
rnacentral:rRNA from 1 species